rnacentral:rRNA from 1 species
GAUGAACGCUGGCGGCGUGCUUAACACAUGCAAGUCGAGCGAGUGAGUUCUUCGGAACGAUCUAGCGGCGGACGGGUGAGUAACACGUGGGCAACCUGCCUCAUAGAGGGGAAUAGCCUCCCGAAAGGGAGAUUAAUACCGCAUAAAAUUAUCGAGUGGCAUCACAUGAUAAUCAAAGGAGUAAUCCGCUAUGAGAUGGGCCCGCGGCGCAUUAGCUAGUUGGUGAGGUAACGGCUCACCAAGGCGACGAUGCGUAGGCGACCUGAGAGGGUGAUCGGCCACAUUGGGCCUGGGACACGGCCCAGACUCCUACGGGAGGAAGCAGUGGGGUAUAUUGCACAAUGGGGGAAACCCUGAUGCAGCAACGCCGCGUGAGUGAUGAAGGUCUUCGGAUUGUAAAGCUCUGUCUUUGGGGACGAUAAUGACGGUACCCAAGGAGGAAGCCACGGCUAACUACGUGCCAGCCGCCGCAGUAA